CAUUGUCUCCAGUAGCCCAGCCCAGCUCCAGCGCAAGCCACGGGCUCCCUCGCGGUGCCCCUCUCCGACGGCGACUCGCAUCCGCGCCGCCACGCGAUUCGGCGACGCCGUCCGUCGGUUCCUCCGCAGUCUGCUAGGCGUCACUCCGCCCGCUCGUUCUCCACUCUCCAGGCCCUGAUCGAGGCAGCACCGCCCGACCCUGACGACGCCUGAGCGGGAGCGGCCGAGCCCUAGUGCCGUCGUUUUGCCGGGGCCGCCCGACUCCGUGACGUUGCCUGCGUGGGACGGGCGACGCCGCCAGUCCGUGACGGCGGACGGCCACGGGUCACAGCGGCACAGGAGGCAUCCCCAAUCGGCAAAUCCCCUAACGGCGACUGGUGUAUACUCUGCUCCAUCUCCAUCCCGCAUUCCCGCUUCAACCCUUUGUCAUCAUGCUUGAAGAACCAGAUGAUCACUGCUAGGCAUACUGGUCUGUCACUGGGUCCGCCACUGCUCCUACCUCUCCCAAAUCUCAGCGAUGAUGCAGAAGAAGCUAACACUGCUGCAGACAGUGGCGGCUGCGGGAGUCUUCUCAGCUGUCUCCUGCUGGUAUGGCUUCAUGUUUGGAAGGGAGUCCGCGCGGCGUGAGCUAGGUGGCAUCAUAGACGACCUCCGCAAGUCUAACACCACAUCUAUUGCUUCCUCUGAACCUGAUGCUAAUUCCAAGCCAUAAUACGAUCCAGGCCAGCAAUCCCAAGAGCAAGAAUAGGCGUUCAUCAUAAAUGAUCUGAUUGGCUAUUAGACCUUCUCACCAAGGAGGAUGAUUAUCAGAGGAAGAUCGAGGCAAUUGGACAAUAGGUUUGGUAGGUCUGUUUUACUGAGGCUGCGUUUUGAAUUUACUGAAAUGUGUAAUGGUAUCAUUUGAUAUGUGGCCUGGAGAGCUGUUCCUUCCCUUAUUAACAAUAUUGCUCAUAAAUCUUCAGGCAUGGCAGAACUGUUGGUGCAUGAUACUGCUGAUAUGUGAUUAUUUCUUUCACGCUAUUGAUUUGUUGAGCUCA